AUCAUUAUUAUUAUUCCAUUCAUUUAUUUAUUCACUCAUUCGUUAUUUAAGAUUUUGUCUUUAAAUAAUUCUUCAAAAUUCCGAUUCCCAAAUUUAGUUCUCCGAAAUUCCAAUUCCUUUCAAAUUUAAUUUCUAAAAUUCUCAUUCUUGUAUUUAAUUUCAAAAAUUCCAAUUUUCAAAUAAAUUUCAAAAAUCCAGUUUUCCCUUGAACAGUUUUUAAUUUCUAUUUGGUGACGCAUGUGAUAUGUUUUGUGCUCUUUAUUAUACACUAACCUCACUUCUUGAUAGCGCCUCAUGGAUCACUGCCCAGGUACGCAUCUACAUCCGCUCUGGUCAUUUUCGAUAUGCAUGUUUAGAUUCUCACGUGUGCAUGAUUUAUUCUGGGUACUCAUUGAUCUACUCGUCCACUGCCAUGAUUGCUUCAUUUUAUUAGUAGAGACCCGUUUUUAGGGACUUAGAAGGGUGCUACGGUUUUUACCAUACCUUCCUGAUAAGUAACCUGACCCCCGAACCCGAUCUGGUUUUUCACAGACCACCUUUUCCAAAAUAAGGAGUCGCACUUAGGGUUUUCUUUCUUAUUUUGUUUACCCUUUCAAAAAUAAAACAAAAAUAAGUGGCGACUCCAAGUCAUU
rnacentral:lncRNA from 1 species